rnacentral:lncRNA from 10 species
GUACCACUGCACUCCAGCCUGAGCAACACAAUGAGACCCUGUCUCAAAGUAAUAAUGAUAAUAACAAUUGUUAUAUAGUAUAAUGAAAAAGCUUUCGGAUGAUUAAACUCCCAGAUGUCUGACUAAGUGGCCUCUAGAAGAAUAAUUUACCAUCAAUAACUAAACAAAUCUCUGCUUAUCGCCGUGAAGCAGGUUACACAUUCCCAAAAGAGAAACACGCCAAUGCAAAUCAACACCUGCAAUUCAGAAUGUUUGUUCUUGUGCCUUUGGAUUUGAGGCUCACGUUUGAAACUUGUUUAUUGUCUCUGACUAUGCAUCUUAAUGUGUGUAGCAUGUUUCUCUGGAUUAGCAGUUACCUGGACUAUACCAUGUUCCAAUCUUAGACAUUCUGGCAUCUUCUGCACAUCUCUCUGAGGAACCCCUCUAAGGGAAAUACACAGAUGUUGGAUAUCCUGUAGCCUGUAUUUUAAGUCAGGCUACAUCAAAAUACUUAAUGUAUUUUUUAAUACCAGCUGUUUUCACAACAUACAAUGCCAGACAAUUGUGGCAAUUAAUAAAGACCCAGAAGCUCCAAUUUUCCAAGUGGCAGAUUAUGGAAUAGUUGCAGAUUUAUUUAAGGUAGUUCCUGAAAUGACUGAGAUAUUGAAGAAAAAAUGAAUCAGGAUCAUGCCUUAAAAAGAAAACUUUUGUUAAAGUAUUCCACUGAAAUCACAGAUAUUUGUGGGUAUUAUAACAAUCAUUGGAAAGCAUGGAGAGCUACAUUUCAUAAUUUGAGGGAAAAUUUCUAACAGAUGCCAGAAUGCUUGUUUAUGGGAUUGCUGUGUUUCCUUUUAAUUAUUUGUGGUUCCAAACAAUUAUUGUUUGAACUUUUUAAAUUCUGUACUAAAAUCUAUAAUAAAGCUUUUCCACAGCUUUAAAACUAUCAGAAAUAUGCCUAGCCUCUAGAGAAAAUUGAAGAAAAGGAGUAAAAAUUUUGUUUAUUUAUUUAUUUUUUUGCCUUUCUUGUUCAUGGAGAGCUCUAUGUUUUAGGAAGAUUGUAAACAUGAUUGUCUCCACCAGCCUAAUCAACCUACUAAUCUCAUUGUU